UAAGUGUCCGUAUAAAACCAUGUCGGGUUAGAUUUUUGCAAGUAUAUAUAUUAGACCCAAGUUCUUAUUUUUUCAUUUCUCUCACUUCCUCCACACUUCUUGAGAGUUCUAGAAUAUUCUAUACACCCUACUAACACAAACCCAAGGUGAAUCAAAGGUUAAACACCAAGAAUUAGUAGAAUCAAGUGCAAGGAUGGUCUCUAGGGCUUGUGGAAACCAAGAAUCUCUUUGAAGUUGAAGUUGGGUUUUCCUCCAAGUGAAGUAUUGUCACCCAAAGUACAUUCCUACAUCAUCAAGAAGAGUUUUAUAUUCAUUUCAUGUUAUUAAGAAAAUUGAGUAGUUGAAAGACUUGGAUUAUGAAGUUCAAAUAUGGAAAUAAUGGUAUUCUUGAAUAGUAACUUGACUUGAAUCAUAGUUCUUAAUACGUAAUGAGUAUAAUCUUUCUAUGAAUGAUAUUAAAGAUGUUUUAGAAGCAUUAUAUGUGAAUGAAUAUGAUGUUGUGUCAUAAUUAUGGUUAUGGAUGACUUUGAAAGGGGAUUUUGAGAAUUGAGUCAUGUCUAGCUUGAUAAAGUUUAUUAAUUAUGAUAUGGUGGGUGUUGUUAUUGAUGUUUGGGAGUUUUUUAUUGAAUGGAGGAAGUUGUAGAAACAAAGGAAGUGCUGCCCAAUUUUCGUUAGCCCUUAGUCGUCCUAGUUUAGACUUAAGUAAGUUUCCGGAUAUCUAACCUUGUACGAAUUCUCUUGAAUGUAGAAUUAUGAGCUUGGAAGGAAAGCGUUUAGUCGAUAGAGUUAAGGAGACGUGAAGGUAUGUAAGGCUAGUCCCUUUCUUUCAAGGCAUGAUUCCUAUACUAUGAUUUCGUAUAUAUGCCCAUGACUUUCUUAUAUUCCCAAGUUGAGAGCUAAAGAUUUCUAAGAGCUUAUUAUGAGGAAGAGAUAAGAUGUGUUCCAUAAUGAUCAUGAUGAUGAUGAUGCUAUGUCUAGGGAUUCUAAAGCUUAUGAUGUGAUGCUAUUAUAAUGUUAAUGAUCUUUACAUGAUUCCUUGAUAUUGUUCAUUGUUGCUAGCCUCACCUUAUAAUGCUAGUUCCUUCGAGGUGAGACAAGAUGAUUAUGAUUGUUCCAUAAGAUAAUCGGAGGUUACCGACCUUACGUCACUCCGAUAGAGUCACAGCUUUUACUUGAACUCUUAUGCAUGCUUCAUGUUGAGUGUAUAAUGAUAUAUUACACCGCGUCUAUAUGGCACGGGCAGCACCGCUAAGGCGGGUGGCUUUUGGAUGAUGAUGACAGCACCACUAGUAGGCCGCGUGAGAUGAUUUUUCUAGACGCGGGCUAAUGAUGUUAUUGACUCAGACAGUUAUGUACGUAUGUGUGAUUUUUCUUAAAGGUAAAAGUGAGCAUGCAUGAUUCCGCCUCAAGAGGCAAGCAGUCACAGUUAUCCUUUCUUCUCAUGCUUUCUAUACUUCCUUAUUAUGUUAUCAUAUAUGCCUUACAUACUCAGUACAUUGUUGUACUGAUGUCCUUUCUUUUAUGGACGUUGUGUUCAUGCCCACAGGUAGACAGGAAGACGGCCUGGACACCUAGGAGCUUUACCAGCAGUUGUUCAGGAGCACUCCACUACUCCGGAGUUGCCGCUAUCGAUUGUGUUCCAGAGAUAUCAUCCAGACUACAUCUCAAGCUUGAAGCUAGUUCGCUCGAUCAGAUCCGAGGGUGAGCUUCUACCCAUGCCAUGCCACCUGAAGAUCUCUCUUUCCAGAUGUCUAAUUUCAUUCUAGACAUUAUUUGUUAUUAUAUUUGAGAUAUACUUCAUUCUUUAGACAUUGUUGGUUAGAGUCCUUGUACGAUGACUUUCAGAUUCUGGGGGUGUAAUAGUUAAGACUUUCGCACUUGUACUAUUUAUUAUUUAUGAUUUGGUAGACUAUUUCUUCA